rnacentral:rRNA from 1 species
AGAGCUUGCUCUUGAUGACGAGUGGCGCACGGGUGCGUAACGCGUAUACAAUCUGCCUUUUACAGGAGGAUAGCCUUUAGAAAUGAAGAUUAAUACUCCAUAGUAUUAUUGAUUGGCAUCAAUUAAUAAUUAAAGCUUCGGUGGUAAAAGAUGAGUAUGCGUUCUAUUAGCUAGAUGGUGUGGUAACGGCACACCAUGGCAACGAUAGAUAGGGGCCCUGAGAGGGGGAUCCCCCACACUGGUACUGAGACACGGACCAGACUCCUACGGGAGGCAGCAGUGAGGAAUAUUGGACAAUGGAGGCAACUCUGAUCCAGCCAUGCCGCGUGCAGGAAGACUGCCCUAUGGGUUGUAAACUGCUUUUAUACAGGAAGAAACACUCCCUCGUGAGGGAAUUUGACGGUACUGUAAGAAUAAGGAUCGGCUAACUCCGUGCCAGCAGCCGCGGUAAUACGGAGGAUCCAAGCGUUAUCCGGAAUCAUUGGGUUUAAAGGGUCCGUAGGUGGAUAAUUAAGUCAGAGGUGAAAGUCUGCAGCUCAACUGUAGAAUUGCCUUUGAUACUGGUUAUCUUGAGUUAUUAUGAAGUAGUUAGAAUAUGUAGUGUAGCGGUGAAAUGCAUAGAUAUUACAUAGAAUACCAAUUGCGAAGGCAGAUUACUAAUAAUUAACUGACACUGAUGGACGAAAGCGUGGGGAGCGAACAGGAUUAGAUACCCUGGUAGUCCACGCCGUAAACGAUGGUUACUAGCUGUUCGGAUUUCGGUCUGAGUGGCUAAGCGAAAGUGAUAAGUAACCCACCUGGGGAGUACGUUCGCAAGAAUGAAACUCAAAGGAAUUGACGGGGGCCCGCACAAGCGGUGGAGCAUGUGGUUUAAUUCGAUGAUACGCGAGGAACCUUACCAGGGCUUAAAUGUAG